AAUAAAUCCAAUCUUUAAAAUAGGAAAAUAGGUGUGAAUUUUGUUGCCUUUGGGGGGCUGUACCGUGCCCCUCAGAGUGAAUAUGGAGGUUCUGCAGUC
rnacentral:snoRNA from 1 species